AUAUCAAUAAGCGGAGGAAAAGAAACUAACAAGGAUUCCCCUAGUAACGGCGAGUGAAGUGGGAAAAGCUCAACUUUGAAAUCUGGUACUUUCAGUAUCCGAAUUGUAGUCUCAAGAAGUGUUUUCUGUGCUGGUCCAUGUAUGAGUCUGUUGGAACACAGCGUCAUAGAGGGUGACAACCCCGUUCAUGACAUGGAUACCAGUGCUUUGUGAUACACUCUCGAAGAGUCGAGUUGUUUGGGAAUGCAGCUCAAAUUGGGUGGUAAAUUCCAUCUAAAGCUAAAUAUUGGCGAGAGACCGAUAGCAAACAAGUACCGUGAGGGAAAGAUGAAAAGCACUUUGGAAAGAGAGUUAACAGUAC
rnacentral:rRNA from 1 species